rnacentral:rRNA from 1 species
CGGCGGACGGGUGAGUAAUGCCUAGGAAUCUGCCUGGUAGUGGGGGACAACGUUUCGAAAGGAACGCUAAUACCGCAUCGUCCUACGGGAGAAAGCAGGGGACCUUCGGGCCUUGCGCUAUCAGAUGAGCCUAGGUCGGAUUAGCUAGUUGGUGAGGUAAUGGCUCACCAAGGCGACGAUCCGUAACUGGUCUGAGAGGAUGAUCAGUCACACUGGAACUGAGACACGGCCCAGACUCCUACGGGAGGCAGCAGGA